GUCCUCCCAGGCUGUGGUUGCGGGUGCGCCGCGCGCAUCCUAGUCCAUGACAGACGCGGUCAAAGGGACCCACGUAAGCACGCGUGUGCGCAUGCGUGCGAUCAUGGCGCGUCCUAGAGGUAAGUCGCACCGUCCGUUUCUAGGGGUAAUUCCGCCCCGCGGGCGAGCGGGCAAGUCGUGAUGCCAUCGCGGUGGCUGAGCAAACGUCCCAGUGCGCAGGUGUGGGGGAAAAGACCAGGUCAGCUGGAGGAC
rnacentral:ncRNA from 12 species